UGAGGGAUAGCUCAGUCGGUAGAGAAUGAGACUCUUCAUCUCAGGGUUGUGGGUUUGAGUCCCACGUUAUGAU